UGGGGUGUCGCCAAGUGGUAAGGCAGCGGUUUUUGGUACCGUCAUUCGGUGGUUCGAAUCCAUCCACCCCAG
rnacentral:tRNA from 1 species